rnacentral:rRNA from 1 species
UACGUAGGGUGCAAGCGUUGUCCGGAAUUAUUGGGCGUAAAGAGCUCGUAGGCGGUUCGUCGCGUCGGCUGUGAAAACCUGAGGCUCAACCUCAGGCCUGCAGUCGAUACGGGCGGACUUGAGUACUGCAGGGGAGACUGGAAUUCCUGGUGUAGCGGUGAAAUGCGCAGAUAUCAGGAGGAACACCGGUGGCGAAGGCGGGUCUCUGGGCAGUAACUGACGCUGGAGGAGCGAAAGCCGUGGGGGAGCGAACAGG